GACAACUUGCGACAGUGGUUACUCGGUUGGCCUGCUACCCGAUUUAGCUAGCCAAUAGGCUUUGCCUACGCAGGUUCGAAUCCUGCAGUUGUCG
rfam:Pneumocystis murina B123 supercont1.13, whole genome shotgun sequence.